AAAGUUCUUCGGGGUAGGGUGCAAGUCCCAACCGGCGGUAUAGUCCGCGACCCACUUAGGUGGCUGAUUUGGUGCGAUUCCAAAACCGACAGUAAAGUCUGGAUGAGAGAAGAGAUUG
rnacentral:ncRNA from 2 species